UCAUGUUCUUCUCUACGUCUCUAUGUCGAUGAAGUGUAGUCUAGGAUCAAAUUUCAAUCUGAAACAAAGAAACAAAAAAUCUAAGCUUGCGUACAUCUCUCUCAUGUUCGGAUGGCGGAUUUUCUAAACCAAAGUCGGUACCGGUUCAUAAUCUUUGGGCUCUAUCUUAUUCUUCUCCAUCUAUACCUUCAUCCUCCACAAGAACUACCACGAGAAGAAUAUUAUAAGCCGACCUGGAACCAUAGCUAAAGAUAAGGGAAACGAGACAAUGGCAAAGAAACUUGAUGUAUCUCCGCUUCCGGCACAAUCUCUGUCUCCGCCGCAGCUGAAGCUAGACGAUGUAAAUUUGGAGAGAUUGUAACUAAGUCGACGGCCGCUCUUUCCGAGGAGGAAUAAAUACUCUGAGGCAAUCAGCAUUCACCCCCACAAGACACAAUCCAGGGAAGAUAACCUACAUAGCAUACAGUCUAGCUCAGUGAGAGGCUAAGAACAUAACUUUCUUAUUGAAGUUUGUGUGAUGCAAUUCGUCGAACACCUGGUAACUUAAACCGAUAUGUUAUGUUUCUGCAAGGUCUUCAUUUUCUUUCGAGAUGGCCUGUACCUCGGCCUCGCAAUUCCUCUCGGCUCCACCGCUCCACCGCUCCACCACACCGUUUCCCUUCUUCGAACCGCCACAAGCCUUCUUCGGCCGCAGAUUCCAAGUCCUCUUUUCCUCUCUCCGCGGCGGCGGUUCUCUUCGGUAUCAUCGGGUUUCAGUGAUUGUGCUUGGAUGACGGCGCGAAUUUAUUAAAUUUUUUGUAACUUAAUAAUUGAAUUUUUACUUAGUAACACUAGUUUUGUUUUGAAAAGUGUACGUAUUUCAAAUUAAGUAACACGAUCAGGAUAACAAACAGUCUUAAUUAACACAUAAGGUCUGAAGAGAGAGAGAGAGGGGGAUAUAGUUUAAAACCUUAUUUGAACCUCAGAGAAACAGAAAAAGUCUAAGAGCAGCAUUAAUCCAGAUGCUUAUUGGGUUGCUUAAUGAUUUUUAGAUU